AAGUCGUAACAAGGUUUCCGUAGGUGAACCUGCGGAAGGAUCAUUACAACGUAUCCACGUACAAACCAAACCUGUGAACUGUUUCCCUUUGGAGUGGCAAUUGCAAACUGGAUCGGUUUUCCAAUAUGUGACGAAGUAGACUUUCGGGUCUGCUUGGACGGGACCGAUUCGGGCCGCUCUGAAGUGGUUUUCCUUAAACGUCACUUAACUAUUAACCCAUUGAACCUUUACGAUUAAACUAUUUAACUUAAAACGGCUUUCGGGCCUUUCUGUUAAACUUAUUACGAAACAAAAGAACAACUCUUAACAACGGAUAUCUUGGUUCUC
rnacentral:misc_RNA from 1 species